AUGUAUGCAACGGAAAUUGUCCAAUGCUGCGAGACCCGCCGGGCUCCCUCGUUGGUCUUGAAGCUGGACUUUGCCAAAGCCCUUGACUCCAUCGACUGGCGAAGCCUUCACCCAAUUAUGGAGGUGCGUGGCUUCCCGUCUCUCUGGUGUGACUGGAUGGACUCAAUCUUCCAGUCGUCCAUGUCCGCGGUGGUACCAAAUGGCGUGCUCGUGCGAUGGAUCAAAUGCAAGAAGGUAUUGCGGCAGGGGGACCCCCUCUCCCCCUACCUGUUCCUCCUCGUCGCGGACGUGCUGCAACAGAUGAUCAAGAAGGAUGGUGGGAUGCGCCAGCCUCUGUUUGCCGAUGCGCCCCCGCUUGUCCUUCAGUACGUUGAUGACACCAUCAUCAUCAUGCAUGCGGAGCUGAGCGCGGUUCGGCGUCUCAAGGGCAUCCUGGACGACUUCGCGGCUGCGACGGGGCUAGUCAUCAACUUCCACAAAAGCACCAUCGCGCCCGUCCAUGUCCUCGAGGAUGAUCUUCACGACAUGAUCCGUGAGUUGGGCUGCUGUGUUGGGAGCUUCCCUCAAAUCUACCUCGGCCUGCCGCUCUCCAACCACAAGCUCACCAUGGACGACUUCCUCCCGCUCAUUGCCAAAGCUGAGCGCUACCUCUCUGGCUGGCGCGCUCAGCUUCUGUCCUUCGGGGGGGCGCCUGGUGCUGCUCAACGCCGUGCUGGACGCUCUCCCCACGUAUGCCAUGUUUGCGAUGGAGGUCCCGCCCUCUGUGCUCCGGGCGAUCGACGCCCUGCGCCGCUCCUUCCUCUGGACCGCGACAGACAAAGCCUCUGGGGCCCAGUGUCUCAUCGCCUGGGACCGCGCCGUCCGUCCCAAGGAUGA
rnacentral:rRNA from 1 species